rnacentral:sRNA from 1 species
GCUGGGCGUGGUGAUGCACACCUGUAAUCCCAGCAGCUCAGGAGGCUGAGGCAGGAGGAUCGUGAGUUCAAAGUCAGCCUCAGCAAAAGCGAGGUGCUAAGCAACUCAGUGAGACCCUGUCUCUU